AGUCAAUAGAUACCCGGGUAGUCCACGCCCUAAACGAUGUCGACUGGAUGUUGGGUGCAACUUGGCACUCAGUAUCGAAAGCUAACGCGUUAAGUCGACCGCCUGGGGAGUACGCGCGCAAGCGUGAAACUCAAAGGAAUUGACGGGGGCCCGCACAAGCGGUGGAGUAUGUGGUUUAAUUCGAUGCAACGCGCAGAACCUUACCUGGUCUUGACAUGUCGAGAACCUUUCAGAGAUGAGAGGGUGCCUUCGGGAACUCGAACACAGGUGCUGCAUGGCUGUCGUUAGCUCGUGUCGUGAGAUGUUGGGUUAAGUCCCGCAACGAGCGCAACCCUUGUCCCUAGUUGCCAGCACUUCGGGUGGGAACUCUAGGGAGACUGCCGGUGACAAACCGGAGGAAGGUGGGGAUGACGUCAAGUCAUCAUGGCCCUUACGGACCA
rnacentral:rRNA from 1 species